CCGUUGAUAAAUAUAGAACUAAAUCUAUCAUUUUCAUCGAUCCAACUCUUAUCCAUACCUGCACAAAACGAACAAUUUAUUAUGGAAACUAUAUCUUGAAAACAUUAAUUUGCAUUAUAAUAUUUGCAACCCGACUGGAUUUAAACCUCUACAUGUCUAAGAAAUGAAUAUUUCUCUCCAAAUCAGUUAGUUUAGCUAAAUUAUGUAGUUCAAUUAGUACGUGUACCUGAAAAUCUAUCUAUUUUUUUUAAUCUAACACUACAGUAAAAAAAAAAAAAAAAAAAAAAAAAAAAACCAUCUCUAUGUACAUGACAAAAGAUAUUUCUUUAUACACAUAAAUCAAUUAUUCUUAAAAAUAAAGUAAAAAAACAUUGAAUUAUUACUGGAGAAGAAAAGUAGAAGCGAGAAUCUCCUAAAAGAUAACCCACCUACAAUAGAGCAAAAUUUAAGGGAGGAAAAACAUUAACAAAGCUAGAACCCAAAGAAAUUAAGAAAAAUGAGACAAACCUUGAAGAAAAGAGAACUUGAUUUUUACCUUUCUGCCUAAACUCUAACAGAGGACGACAUGGUUCUCUAAAUUCCAGAAUCGAGAAGAGAAAAAUCUUAAAUUGGGCGACGAAGGAAGGAUCUGUGAGAAUAAAUAAAUAUAUAUACCAAAAAUUGAAGAGAAAGUUUUAAAAGAAAAUUUGUUUCAUAGAAUCCUCUCUAGGGUUCUUCACAUUCCACAAAACCCACCUAACUUCUGAUGUUGUG
rnacentral:lncRNA from 1 species